GACGAACGCUGGCGGCGUGCUUAACACAUGCAAGUCGAACGGAAAGGCCCUGCUUUUGUGGGGUGCUCGAGUGGCGAACGGGUGAGUAACACGUGAGUAACCUGCCCUUGACUUUGGGAUAACUUCAGGAAACUGGGGCUAAUACCGGAUAGGAGCUCCUGCUGCAUGGUGGGGGUUGGAAAGUUUCGGCGGUUGGGGAUGGACUCGCGGCUUAUCAGCUUGUUGGUGGGGUAGUGGCUUACCAAGGCUUUGACGGGUAGCCGGCCUGAGAGGGUGACCGGCUACAUUGGGACUGAGAUACGGCCCAGACUCCUACGGGAGGCAGCAGUGGGGAAUAUUGCACAAUGGGCGGAAGCCUGAUGCAGCAACGCCGCGUGCGGGAUGAAGGCCUUCGGGUUGUAAACCGCUUUCGCCUGUGACGAAGCGUGAGUGACGGUAAUGGGUAAAGAAGCACCGGCUAACUACGU
rnacentral:rRNA from 1 species